rnacentral:lncRNA from 1 species
UCUGGCUAUCCUCCACCAAGUUUUACCUGGUUACGAGGCGAGGAAGUCAUCCAACUCAGGUCUAAAAAGUAUUCUUUAUUGGGUGGAAGCAACUUGCUUAUCUCCAAUGUGACAGAUGAUGACAGUGGAAUGUAUACCUGUGUUGUCACAUAUAAAAAUGAGAAUAUUAGUGCCUCUGCAGAGCUCACAGUCUUGGUUCCGCCAUGGUUUUUAAAUCAUCCUUCCAACCUGUAUGCCUAUGAAAGCAUGGAUAUUGAGUUUGAAUGUACAGUCUCUGGAAAGCCUGUGCCCACUGUGAAUUGGAUGAAGAAUGGAGAUGUGGUCAUUCCUAGUGAUUAUUUUCAGAUAGUGGUAAUUAUUUUGUUUCAUAUUUGUUUUAUAAUCCCAUUCAUUGUUUUCUAUUUUUUUCACUUGUUUUUAUUUCUUGAAAAAAAAAAAGGUUCCUGUUGGAGAUUUUUUGUGAUGUGUUAAAAAAGUUAUUCAAAUAAAGCAAAUGAUUUUCUAG